rnacentral:rRNA from 1 species
UACGUAGGGGGCAAGCGUUGUCCGGAUUUACUGGGCGUAAAGAGCGUGUAGGCGGCCACGCAGGUCCGUUGUGAAAACUGGAGGCUCAACCUCCAGCUGUCGACGGAAACCGUAUGGCUAGAGUCCGGAAGAGGAGAGUGGAAUUCCUGGUGUAGCGGUGAAAUGCGCAGAUAUCAGGAAGAACACCAAUGGCGAAGGCAGCUCUCUGGGACGGUACUGACGCUGAGACGCGAAAGCGUGGGGAGCGAACGGG